CGCGGCUGGGAGCGGCGGGAAGCAACCGGGAUUCGCCUUCCCGCCUGCCCGCGUCGGUGCGAGGAGAGCGGUGGGAAGGAAGCCCAUCAGCCCUGCGGCCUCCACAGUGCCUACUACACAUAAGCAUGAUGGACACCUAAGAGGUUUCCCUGGAUACAUCUGAACGGCAAAAUGCACUCUGAAGGUAGUAGACAGUCAAAAAAAAACAUAAGCGUGUUUGAAAUAGUGGUUCUACCAGUUCUUCAUAUAAAAAGCAAGUAUCAGUAUGCACAAUGACACUUAAAAGAAUUGCGUGUCCACCCAUGGGGCAGAGGAAUAUACAAGAGGGUUUUGGCCUUUUACCUGGUGGAAUCUUUUCAGAUGGAGAAUAAGAAUAGCAGGAACUGAAGAAAUCAGCAGCUGUUUCCGAGCAUUUGUGUAAACACCUUCCGUUUUCUUUUCUGUAUUUAUGAAUAUCAAAAUAAUUUGUAAAGUGAAGGCAGCCACACAGAAUUUAAGUAUUUUUUAAACAUCUGACAGAAUAGAUCUAUGUUGCAAUGAUUUUGUACAUGUUAUAUAAAAUGCAAGAGAAAUUUUGUGGAGUAACAGAAAAAUAUUUUCUCAUUUUUAAUAAACAUAAUCUGCCAAA